rnacentral:lncRNA from 1 species
CUGGGUGGGCAUUGGCCUGGCCGUUAAGCUGCGGCUUGGGAGUCCUGCGUCCCAGAUCAGAGCCUGGGUUGGAGUCCCCACUCGGCUUCCACUUCCUGCUUCCAGCUAAGGUGCACCCGGGAAGGCUCAAGUAGGCGGAUUCCUGUCACCCACGAGGGAGACUUGGGUGGACCUCUCCGCUCCUGACUUCAGCCUGACCCAAGCCCAGCUGCUGUGGGCAUUGGGGGGAGCAAACCAACAGAUGGAAGAUUCCUCCUCCCCACUAUCUUUCAAUCAAUAAAUGAAUUAAAAAGAAAAAGGAUUCACGCUGGAUAGUGCGGCUUGGCAGGUGGAGGUGAGGGGCCUGGAGCAGGGGUGGGGAUGGGACGGGACGGCAGAGCCAGGGUUCCUGAGGCCCUUCCCAGCCUCCCUCUCAGGAGCCCUGGGGUUUCGUAACCCACAUGACUCAUCUUUUCAGCAAGUGUGAGUCAUUCUAAUGGAGGUAGGGGAGCAGGGGGUGUGGUGGGAGGCCCCACCCAGAUGAACCCUCCUCCACAAGGGCUCCCUUGGGCAAGCGGAGUCUACCCCCUGGUCCCUCACCCCUGCAGGGCGCAGGCACCCCUGUGGUCCAACAUACAGCCCGGAUGCCUGCAGUCCCUGCCCAUCUGGGAGCCACGUGGCCCCAACUCAAACAGGUCGGCCUUGCAGAGGAAUGUGCCACACCUGUUGAGCAAAAGUACCAGAACCUUCAACCCAUCUGCCGGUGUCGCCUGGAGUGCCCGGCCAGCUUCCUCUUCCGCUGGGAGGAAGGACCCACUGUCACUUUCAGUGAUCCACUGGGACGGUGUGGCCUCUCGUUGUUCCAGCUCUAGAGACAGGCACCUUCCACCGUGGAAGCUUCUCUUGGUAAAACCCAGAAUAAGCACGCGUCGUCCAGGCAAAGGUGUCUUAGAUCUGAUGGAAACUGGCGGCCGCCCAGGCAGGUUGCUAUAAAGACACCUGUUGAACACUGUCCCACGCACUUGCCUCCGUGCCCCUCGUGGCUGCAUUGACAUCCCACAGAAAAGAGAGAGCAGAGUUGGUGUGUUUGUUUCUUUCCAUGAAAGUCUGUUGUGACUCUUCGGGUACGCAAAGCCUCUUUCUAAAGCAAUCCCCUGGCUGGUUUGCAUUCUCAAACAUGAUGUUUCUAUCCGGAGAACCUUGGAUGCUCCAGGCUGCCCAGCACUCAAAGGUGACAUACCUGAUGCAACUUGGCGAGCCACUCCUUAGGGCUGCCUGUGCCACCCACGGCCCGAGACACACCUCAGCGACAGGAGACGCUGACACAGACCUCUUGCUCAGCAAGUGGGCCCGAGACAGGGAGGGCCGGGGACAGACAGGCUCUGCCUUCCCAUCCCUCACCUUACCCUCCUGUUCCAGAGAACUCUUAUCAGGCUCAGCACUCUACAAGCCGGGGGGACCCCAGCCAGGCCCACUUUUCCUCUCCUUUUCACCCCCUCCCCACCCAGAUCCCCCUCUGCUUCGAAUGUGAUUUGCCCCCUGAGCAUUCAGCAUGUAGGAGCUUAGCCCCCAGGGUCUUAGACUGAGGGACUCCAGCCGCGGUUCUCGGCCAUGGACCCUUUAGAAAGAGAUCGGACUCGGGCAGGUACCUGGUGUGGAGUCAGCAGCACUGAAUCCCGGUAGCUUUAGAAGGAGAGCGACAGACACAACACCCAUGCCUGCUGCCUGUCUUUUCUCAGCCAGCAAGAGGCUGGACCAGGGAGGCCGCCUGGCCUUGGACUGCAGAACUGAGAGCCGAAAUAUCUCCCUGCUAUUGCUCCUGGGAAAGCAGCAGAAGAUGGCCCAAGUGCCUGGGCCCUAGAGCCACUGGGAGACCCGGAAGAAGCUCCUGACUCCUGGCUUUGAUUAGUCCAGCUCUAGCCGAUGCGACCAUUUGGAGACUGAACCCACAGAUGGAAGAUUCUCUCUCUCUCUCUCUCUCUCUCUCUCUCUCUCUCUCGUUCUAUCGCUCUCUCUUUCCUUCUCUCUGUAUUUCUGCCUUUAAAAUAAAAAAAUAAAAUCUUGGGGCCA